AUACAGUUCCAAUACUUAAACUCAUACUUCUCCAGUCACUAAUAUUUACCCAACCACAACUUAUCAAUUCUGUGUAUCAUUAGUAUCUACAAUCACUCAUUCAUUCCAACUCUCUUAACAUCUCUUACACUUACCAAACCUUCAUCACCUGCAACUUCAGUUGAACAACUCAAUUAUAACUCUCACAGCCUUGCUCAACUCAGUUCAUAUAAUCACCAUCAGCAUAACACAUUCAUCCCUGUACAUCAACUCCCAACACAACUUUCUGCAACACUAUAAUCAUUAUCAACAGUUCAUACAUCCACAACAUCUCCAAGUUGUGUACUUGUAACCCAAUAACCACACCACAUGUAAUACAACACUACCAUUCAACCUGUAACUCAAGCAUACUUUCAUUCCAACAAAAGACAAUUAUCUGUAACUCAAUACAAUCCAACUAUAACUCCAUCUACACCCUAUAGCCAUAUAAAUAGCUACCUCCACAUUCAUCACAUCAUCUCAGGUAACUCAUUUCAACUAUAAUAUGACUAGUAAUCUCAUAAACUCAAAACCAAAGUAGAUAACCGAACUAUAUUUACUGAGAACAAACAAUUACCUCAUGAUACAUCCUCUCAAGCAACUGAUUUCGAUUUCUUCUUUACUUGUACAAACAUAUACCAAUUCAACUCAAGCAAAUGAAUUAGAUUCCUCUUUACUCUGACGUGACUCAGAAAUCAUCUCAAAACCACCACCAUAUGCCAAACCAACUCUACUCUUCGUCUCUGGUGUGAGUCUCAUACUCAUCAACCUUCAGAACCCUAAUUCAUAAAAUUGGGGAAGAACAGGACAACCCUAAUUCUCAAAUUCAUCUUCAGAACAAUUUCAUAUCACCAAAUUAACAAAGACCCCAUCCUUACACAUCUAAUAGGAACUCAAAACCAGCAUCAAUUUUACUCGAACCUUAAUUGAAUUCCAGAAUCCUUAAUUCCAAUUUACAGCAGCAUCGACAUCUCCUCUUCUUCUCAUAACUAAACCAAAAUCAGCACCACCAUCUGAUCUUGAUUAUAAUUCUCUUUUCUUAAUCUCAGUCUAGUGAUCUUGUUCUCCAUGACCAAUUCUCGGAAACCCUAAUCUUCUUCUCACGAUUUACAACAUCAUCUUCUUCUUCCCGGUUUCAAACAACCACAGUACUACCACCAACAAGCAACCCAUGAUGUCCUUCGCAAUUCUCUCGACCUCACAGCCUCAGAAACUCAGAAGAAUUCACCAGAGGUGAAGAACAGAAGAAGAAGCAGGAAAGAAGAAGAAAGAAGAAGAAGAAGAAGAAGAAUGACUUUUUAGCUCGAGUUCUGGUGAUAUUAUCAGGCCAAAGAAUUUCUCCGCUACACCAACUCACUGAGACACGUGCAGCCACAACGAGUCUGUAUUGCAUCAAUAACAUUUUUCGUGAUUAAUCUAUCCUAGCCAUGUUCAUCCCACGAAGCUACCGGGUUGUUCCGCACUGGGCUGGUAUCAAAUUUUAGGGUGUCAGGCUGGGAUGUGCUCGUGCUGGCACGACUCAAUUUACACCUCUACAUUAUCUCUUUCAUGGUUGCAUCAUCUUGUAAAUAUAUACUUAUAGAUAUCAUGGAAUUGCGAUAUCA